GGAAAGGAAUAGCCUCGGGAAACUGGGAGUAAUGCCUUAUAAGAUACGUUUGUCGCAUGGCAUUUGUAUUAAACGCUCCGGCGCCAUAGGAUGGACCCGCGUCCCAUUAGCUAGUUGGUGAGAUAACAGCCCACCAAGGCCACGAUGGGUAACCGGUCUGAGAGGGCGAACGGUCACACUGGAACUGAGACACGGUCCAGACUCCUACGGGAGGCAGCAGUGGGGAAUAUUGCGCAAUGGGGGCAACCCUGACGCAGCAAUACCGCGUGAGUGAAGUAGGUUUUCGGAUCGUAAAGCUCUGUUAUUGGGGAAGAAAAAAAGACGGUACCCAAGAAGAAAGUUCCGGCUAACUACGUGCCAGCAGCCGCGGUAAUACGUAGGGAACAAGCGUUGUCCGGAUUUACCGGGCGUAAAGGGCACGCAGGCGGUUUUUUAAGUCAGAUGUGAAAGGCCACAGCUCAACUGUGGACAUGCAUUUGAAACUGAAAGACUUGAGUAUUGGAGAGGCAAGUGGAAUUCCUAGUGUAGCGGUGAAAUGCGUAGAUAUUAGGAGGAACACCGGUGGCGAAGGCGGCUUGCUGGACAA
rnacentral:rRNA from 1 species